GGAUUUUCGAUGAAAACACCUAGUACGAGAGGAACCAUUGAUUCGCACAAUUAGUCAUCGCGCUUGGGUGAAAAGCCAGUGGAGUGAAGCCACCAUGCGCUGGAUUAUGACUGAACGCCUCUAAGUCAGAAUUUGAGCUAGAAGUGACGCGCGUGUUCGUCGCCUGUUUGACGACACGCAGUAGGGGUCAUCUGGCCCCCCAGAGGCACGUGCCGUUGGCCAAGACCCCGCGGCGGAUGAGCCGCGUGGGCCGGCUCAAAGUACAAUUCCCAUCAGGCGACGGAUAGAAUCCUUUGUAGAUGGCCACUCCUCAUGCAUUCCCAUAAAUAGUCGACCGGCGACCACUCCAAUAAUUCCAUAAUGAUAUUUAAGGGUCGCCCGUAAAAUACCGCGCCAUCGGGUCACAUCUCCAUUUUUUACGGAUUU
rnacentral:ncRNA from 1 species